AAUAUUCUGGUGAAGUUAUACGAGAAUCUACAGCUUGGGAUCCUAUUUCCUCAUCAGCCAGACAUCCUGGGAUGCUCUCAUUGCUAGCCUGGAGAACCGCGCUGCCUGGCUAUUCCUUCGUGAGACUCUUGCGUCUUCUGGAACCACCACUUCCGCAUCCUGUGGGACCACCCCUCCUGAGGACCUACCCAAUGGAGCAGGCCCCCUGAACAUGCUUUAGGAGCUGCCACACCCCUGGAAUGUUAUGCAAGUAUCCUAUUUAUUGAUCUUCACCAUUCUGUCCAAACUGGUGUCCAUAAGAAGAACGUCAAAUCAGCCCGAUGGAACACAAGACCUGUCUGACAAUGCUGUAGAGCCUUUCCCAGUACCUCUGAGGAGGACACAUGCUCGGGGAAGUAAGAACAGGUGCUUGCAACUCUGUGGCUGAUAGGGUGGAGCAUUGUUCCUACUUUGCUUCUCCUAGAGUUCUAACUGCUUGGAUGCCACAGGUUACAUGAUCCCCAGAGUCAAGCAAUUAUUUCAGACAGAGAAUUCAAGCCUGCCCUGUGCUUGUGUUUUCUAUAAAUGAAGAGAAAGGUUUACUGAGAAUCCACUAUAUGGAAAUAAAUGCUAAGGGCAGAUGGAAUGAGAAACUCGAAGAUGCAGCCUUUCAGCAGCCUACUACAGCUACCCAAGUACGUCCAGUGGAAGGCGGAGUGUGAUGUGUGGUGAGCAGAAGCAUAACUACGGCGCUAAGCAGCAAGGGGGAGGGGACUGGAUCUGUCUGGGAAGGCAGAAUUCAAGCCCAGCUGUGGAGGAUGAGAUGUGGGACUGCAGACAUUCCAGGCCAAGGAACUACUUUGCAUAAAGGGCCUUAUGGGUGCAGAUUUGCUUAAAUCACUUUUCAGCUGGCAUCCUGGAGCC